AUUGAACGCUGGCGGCAGGCCUAACACAUGCAAGUCGAGCGGAGCGGCGGACGGGUGAGUAAUGCCUAGGAAUCUGCCUGGUAGUGGGGGAUAACGUCCGGAAACGAGCGCUAAUACCGCAUCAUAUCAGAUGAGCCUAGGUCGGUUUAGUUAGGGGGUGGGGUAAAGGCCUACCAAGGCGACGAUCCGUAACUGGGCGGAGAGGAUGAUCAGUCACACUGGAACUGAGACACGGUCCAGACCACUCCGGGAGGCAGCAGUGGGGAAUAUUGGAAAAUGGGCGAAAGCCUGAUCCAGCCAGGCCGCGUGUGUGAAGAAGUUCUUCGGAUUGUAAAGUACUUUAAGUUGGGAGGCGUUACCUACAGAAUAAGCACCGGCUAACUUCGUGCCAGCCGCCGCGGUAAUUC
rnacentral:rRNA from 1 species